rnacentral:rRNA from 1 species
UACGAAGGGGGCUAGCGUUGUUCGGAAUCACUGGGCGUAAAGGGCGCGUAGGCGGCUUUAUAAGUCGGGGGUGAAAGCCUGUGGCUCAACCACAGAAUUGCCUUCGAUACUGUAGAGCUUGAGACCGGAAGAGGUAAGUGGAACUGCGAGUGUAGAGGUGAAAGUUCGUAGAUAUUCGCAAGAACACCAGUGGCGAAGGCGGCUCACUGGCCCGAUACUGACGCUGAGGCACGAAAGCGUGGGGAGCAAACAGG